AAUUACAACUUCCUACGUCUCCGCGCGUGAUCGUCUUUGUAUAACGCAACGUGAGAUAGGAUAACGAAGGCCAAUUUAAUUUAGAAUCCGCGUAUGAUUGUAUUAUAAGUUUGGUUUAUCUCUGCCGUAACACAGUAGUAGGUAUAUCUAAAUAUCAUAUCACAACGAAUUGUAAUUGUAUCUGACUACGUGGGAGAAUACUAAUUUAUAUCACGCUCACAACUACGAGCAUCGUACAUACACCUAAUCAUCAAAAUUUGUACAUUACUAGCAAAUAUUCCGACUACCUUUGGCCAAGAAAUAUCGGACUAUUUCAAACGAAUACAUUGAACGUGUGGUUUGCAACGAAAUAUUUUUCACGAAAGCAAUCUAGCGGUAUCGUUGGAGAAGACCAACGGUAUCCUUCCCGGUUAAAUGACUAGUCGAGGUAUAAAAAAGGGCUGGCCAAUUUUUUUGCUCGUUGGCCGUUCUCCAGGAAGGACGACGUAACCCAGCCGUGAGCCGGUCGAUGCGGAAGAACUUUUUCAUGCAAACUUUUUCGCAUACCCCUUUGCUCUUAUAGUUGCUGCCAGCUUAUCGAAGCGGAAGCGCCGAAGAGGUUGGAGGAAAGAGGAACGAGAGAACGAGGCUACGCGAAUGCUGUAAGCGAAGGAGAGUGGAAUCGCAAGAAGAAAUUCCAAAGGAACCCGUGCAUCCACGGUAAUUUGGCAAAGUUUGGCUGUUAUGGGCUGUAUCUCAAGGCUGAAUUCGAGACGCGAGGAAGGAGGAUGAAGAAGGAUGGAACGAUAGAAGAAUUUGGUUUUCAAUUUCUAUCACGUCUUCGCAUCACCGAGCUUCCGUUCCCUUCGAUUACGUUCUACCAUCACGUGUCAUUUACAUUUUGGUUCUUCUUUCUCAAUUUUGUAUCUUUUCUCGAGAAUGUCUUUCGGCCGUGCAGGUAGAAAGGAAGAUAAAUAAAACGAUCGAACUUCACAUAUUGUAUCGCGAUUGAUGUUUUUAAAUUAUUACGACCAUAAUCUUCGAAGCGCUAUUAUACGUUUUUAUCGCGUCGAUUUAUUAUUUUCACCUGCUGGGAUAAAAACUAUCCUUUGAAAUAAGGCUUAACGAUAAAUUAGGACAUAUUUUAAUUACGUUUAAUUACGAAUAAGCAUAGUAUGCGAGCGAGUGUUAGUGAAAUUGCGGCAUUAUCGCGACUUCCUAUUUUCUCUUGUAAAAUUCACGACCUUCGAAAUUUUCGUAAUUGCGUAAACAGGCAAUCUGCUUGAGAUAACACGAGAUACGAAAGCCGAGUCUAUUUUGUAUUGCGGCCCCGUAAUCUACAUGGCGUUAAGACGAGAAAAAGGCAAAAAAGAGAAAAUCCAAAGAACGAAGAAAAGAAACUUA